rnacentral:rRNA from 1 species
GAUGAACGCUGGCGGCGUGCCUAAUACAUGCAAGUCGAGCGAACGGACGAGAAGCUUGCUUCUCUGAUGUUAGCGGCGGACGGGUGAGUAACACGUGGAUAACCUACCUAUAAGACUGGGAUAACUUCGGGAAACCGUAGCUAAUACCGGAUAAUAUUUUGAACCGCAUGGUUCAAAAGUGAAAGACGGUCUUGCUGUCACUUAUAGAUGGAUCCGCGCUGCAUUAGCUAGUUGGUAAGGUAACGGCUUACCAAGGCAACGAUGCAUAGCCGACCUGAGAGGGUGAGCGGCCACACUGGAACUGAGACACGGUCCAGACUCCUACGGGAGGCAGCAGUAGGGAAUCUUCCGCAAUGGGCGAAAGCCUGACGGAGCAACGACGCGUGAGUGAUGAAGGUCUUCGGAUCGUAAAACUCUGUUAUUAGGGAAGAACAUAUGUGUAAGUAACUGUGCACAUCUUGACGGUACCUAAUCAGAAAGCCACGGCUAACUACGU